UCCAAUACUUGCUUCCAUUUCUUAUAAUUUAAGAUAUUCAACACUUCAAUGGAAAAAAUAAUUAUGCGUGGAGAAAUUCAUUUCUGAAUCAAAACCAGAAUGCAUUAGUAUUAUCAUAAGAGGUCAAUAUAAUGGUACAAUCACCUUUGGGCAGAAUGCACUCACUAAGGAUAAAACCCUAGUCAAAACCUCAGAUGAGUUAAUCAAUGAGUAUACAUUGAGCUUUGAAAGUUGUCACCUUUGGGCUGUCAAAUUCCUCCGUUCAACGCAUUCUCCAAUAACUUCAUCUCAA
rnacentral:lncRNA from 1 species